rnacentral:rRNA from 1 species
CACUCCUGCGGGAGGCAGCAGUGGGGAAUAUUGCACAAUGGGCGCAAGCCUGAUGCAGCCAUGCCGCGUGUGUGAAGAAGGCCUUCGGGUUGUAAAGCACUUUCAGCGGGGAGGAAGGCGAUACGGUUAAUAACCGUGUUGAUUGACGUUACCCGCAGAAGAAGCACCGGCUAACUCCGUGCCAGCAGCCGCGGUAAUACGGAGGGUGCAAGCGUUAAUCGGAAUUACUGGGCGUAAAGCGCACGCAGGCGGUCUGUCAAGUCGGAUGUGAAAUCCCCGGGCUCAACCUGGGAACUGCAUUCGAAACUGGCAGGCUUGAGUCUUGUAGAGGGGGGUAGAAUUCCAGGUGUAGCGGUGAAAUGCGUAGAGAUCUGGAGGAAUACCGGUGGCGAAGGCGGCCCCCUGGACAAAGACUGACGCUCAGGUGCGAAAGCGUGGGGAGCAAACAGGAUUAGAUACCCGAGUAGUCCC